UUAAAUUGAGGAUAAUUUGACAUGGGGCAAAUAGCCUAAUGAGUGCAUUUAGAAUGCAAAUACAAAAUGCAAUACAUGCUAAAUAACAACCCCUAAAUAAUACUAAAUGUUACUCCAUCAUAAAAGAUAGGUCUUAUAAUACAAAACAUAAAAAUACAUUCGACAUAAAAUUAAUAGCCACCAUCUAAUCGGUGGUAUAGCU